GCUUCCCUAGUUUUUCUUCUAUUAGUUUGAGUGUGUCUGGUUUGAUGUGGAGGUCCUUGAUCCACUUGGACUUAAGCUUUGUACAGGGUGAUAAGGAUGGAUCGAUCUGCAUUCUUCUACAUGUUGCCCUCCAGUUGAACCAGCACCAUUUGCUGAAAAUGCUAUCUUUUUUCCAUUGGAUGGUUUUGGCUCCUUUGUCAAAAAUCAAGUGCCCAUAGGUGUGUGGGUUCAUUUCUGGGUCUUCAAUUCUAUUCCAUUGGUCUAUCUGUCUGUCUCUGUACCAAUACCAUGCAGUUUUUAUCACUAUUGCUCUGUAAUACUGCUUGAGUUCAGGGAUAGUGAUUCCCCCUGAAGUCCUUUUAUUGUUGAGGAUAGCUUUAGCUAUCCUGGGUUUUUUGUUAUUCCAGAUGAAUUUGCAAAUUGCUCUGUCUAACUCUUUGAAGAAUUGGAUUGGUAUUUUGAUGGGGAUUGCAUUGAAUCUGUAGAUUGCUUUUGGUAAAAUGGCCAUUUUUACUAUAUUAAUCCUGCCAAUCCAUGAGCAUGGGAGAUCUUUCCAUCUUCUGAGGUCUUCUUCAAUUUCUUUCCUCAGUGUCUUGAAGUUCUUAUUGUACAGAUCGUUUACUUGGUUGGUUAAAGUCACACCGAGGUACUUUAUAUUAUUUGGGUCUAUUAUGAAGGGUGUCGUUUCCCUAAUUUCUUUCUCGGCUUGUUUCUCUUUUGUAUAGAGGAAGGCAACUGAUUUAUUUGAGUUAAUUUUAUACCCAGCCACUUUGCUGAAGUUGUUUAUCAGCUUUAGUAGUUCUCUGGUGGAACUUUUGGGAUCAAAUAAAUAUACUAUCAUGUCAUCUGCAAAUAGUGAUAUUUUGACCUCUUCUUUUCCGAUCUGUAUCCCCUUGAUGUCCUUUUGUUGUCUGAUUGCUCUGGCUAGAACUUCAAGAACUAUAUUGAAUAAGUAGGGAGAGAGUGAGCAGCCUUGUCUAGUCCCUGAUUUUAGUGGGAUUGCUUCAAGUUUCUCUCCAUUUAGUUUAAUGUUAGCAACUGGUUUGCUGUAUAUGGCUUUUACUAUGUUUAGGUAUGGGCCUUGAAUUCCUAUUCUUUCUAGGACUUUUAUCAUGAAGGGGUGUUGAAUUUUGUCAAAUGCUUUCUCAGCAUCUAAUGAAAUGAUCAUGUGGUUCUGUUCUUUCAGUUUGUUUAUAUAAUGGAUCACGUUGAUGGUUUUCCAUAUAUUAAACCAUCCCUGCAUGCCUGGGAUGAAGCCUACUUGGUCAUGGUGGAUGAUUGUUUUGAUGUGCUCUUGAAUUCGGUUUGCCAGAAUUUUAUUGAGUAUUUUUGCGUCGAUAUUCAUAAGGGAAAUUGGUCUGAAGUUCUCUUUCUUUGUUGUGUCUUUGUGUGGUUUAGGUAUAAGAGUAAUUGUGGCUUCAUAGAAGGAAUUCGGUAGUGCUUCAUCUGUUUCAAUUUUGUGGAAUAGUUUGGAUAAUAUUGGUAUGAGGUCUUCUAUGAAGGUUUGAUAGAAUUCUGCACUAAACCCGUCUGGACCUGGGCUCUUUUUGGUUGGGAGACCUUUAAUGACUGCUUCUAUUUCCUUAGGAGUUAUGGGGUUGUUUAGCUGGUUUAUCUGUUCCUGAUUUAAGUUCGAUACCUGGUAUCUGUCUAGGAAAUUGUCCAUUUCCUGAAGAUUUUCAAGUUUUGUUGAAUAUAGGUUUUUAUAGUAAGAUCUGAUGAUUUUUUUGAAUUUCUUCUAAAUCUGUAGUUAUGUCUCCCUUUUCAUUUCUGAUUUUGUUAAUUUGGACGCACUCUCUGUGUCCUCUCGUUAGUCUGGCUAAGGGUUUAUCUAUCUUGUUGAUUUUCUCAAAAACCAACUCUUGGUUCUGUUGAUUCUUUCUAUGGUCCUUUUUGUUUCUACUUGGUUGAUUUCAGCUCUGAGUUUGAUUAUUUCCUGCCUUCUACUCCUCCUGGGUGUAUUUGCUUCUUUUUGUUCUAGAGCUUUUAGGUGUGCUGUCAAGCUGCUGACAUAUGCUCUUUCCUGUUUCUUUCUGCAGGCACUCAGCGCUAUGAGUUUUCCUCUUAGCACAGCUUUCAUUGUGUCCCAUAAGUUUGGGUAUGUUGUACCUUCAUUUUCAUUAAAUUCUAAAAAGUUUUUAAUUUCUUUCUUUAUUUCUUCCUUGACCAGGUUAUCAGUGAGUAGAGCAUUGUUCAAUUUCCACGUAUAUGUGGGCAUUCUUCCCUUAUUGUUAUUGAAGACCAGUUUUAGGCCGUGGUGGUCCGAUAGCACGCAUGGGAUUAUUUCUAUCUUUCUGUACCUGUUGAGGCCCGUUUUUGACCAAUUAUAUGGUCAAUUUUGGAGAAAGUACCAUGAGGAGCUGAGAAGAAGGUAUAUCCUUUUGCUUUAGGAUAGAAUGUUCUAUAAAUGUCCGUUAAUCCAUUUGGCUCAUGACUUCUCUUAGUCUGUCGACAUCACUGUUUAAUUUCUGUUUCCAUGAUCUGUCCAUUGAUGAGAGUGAGGUGUUGAAAUCUCCCACUAUUAUUGUGUGAGGUGCAAUGUGUGUUUUGAGCUUUAGUAAGGUUUCUUUUACGUAUGUAGGUGCCGUUGUAUUUGGGGCAUAGAUACUUAGGAUUGAGAGUUCAUCUUGGUGGAUUUUUCCUUUGAUGAAUAUGAAGUGUCCUUCCUUAUCUUUUUUGAUGACUUUUAGUUGGAAAUUGAUUUUAUUUGAUAUUAGAAUGGCUACUCCAGCUUGCUUCUUCUGACCAUUUGCUUGGAAAUUUGUUUUCCAGCCUUUCACUCUGAGGUAGUGUCAGUCUUUGUCUCUGAGGUGUGUUUCCUGUAGGCAGCAGAAUGCAGGGUCCUCGUUGCGUAUCCAGUUUGUUAAUCUAUUUCUUUUUAUUGGGGAGUUGAGGCCAUUGAUAUUGAGAGAUAUUAAGGAAUAGUGAUUAUUGCUUCCCGUCAUAUUCAUAUUUGGAUGUGAGGUUAUGUUUGUGUGCUUUCAUUCUCUUUGUUUUGUUGCCAAGACGAUUAGUUUCUUGCUUCUUCUAGGGUAUAGCUUGCCUCCUUAUGUUGGGCUUUACCAUUUAUUAUCCUUUGUAGUGCUGGAUUUGUAGAAAGAUAUUGUGUAAAUUUGGUUUUGUCAUGGAAUAUUUUGUUUUCUCCAUCAAUGUUAAUUGAGAGUUUUGCUGGAUACAGUAACCUGGGCUGGCAGUUGUGUUCUCUUAGGGUCUGUAUGACAUCGGUCCAGGAUCUUCUGGCCUUCAUAGUUUCUGGCGAGAAGUCUGGUGUGAUUCUGAUAGGUCUGCCUUUAUAUGUUACUUGACCUUUUUCCCUUACUGCUUUUAAUAUUCUUUCUUUGUUUUGUGCGUUUGGUGUUUUGACAAUUAUGUGACGGGAGGUGUUUCUUUUCUGGUCCAAUCUAUUUGGAGUUCUGUAGGCUUCUUGUAUGUCUAUGGGUAUCUCUUUUUUUAGGUUAGGGAAGUUUUCUUCUAUGAUUUUGUUGAAUAUAUUUAAUGGUCCUUUGAGCUGGGAGUCUUCACUCUCUUCUAUACCUAUUAUCCUUAGGUUUGAUCUUCUCAUUGAGUCCUGGAUUUCCUGUAUGUUUUGGACCAGUAGCUUUUUCCGCUUUACAUUAUCUUUGACAGUUGAGUCAAUGAUUUCUAUGGAAUCUUCUGCUCCUGAGAUUCUCUCUUCCAUCUCUUGUAUUCUGUUGGUGAAGCUUGUAUCUACAGCUCCUUGUCUCUUCUUUUGGUUUUCUAUAUCCAGGGUUGUUUCCAUGUGUUCUUUCUUGAUUGCUUCUAUUUCCAUUUUUAAUUCCUUCAACUGUUUGAUUGUGUUUUCCUGGAAUUCUUUCAGGGAUUUUUGUGUCUCCUCUCUAUGGGCUUCUACUUGUUUAUUUAUGUUUUCCUGGAAUUCUUUCAGGGAUUUUUGUGUCUCCUCUCUAUGGGCUUCUACUUGUUUAUUUAUGUUUUCCUGGAAUUCUUUCAGGGAUUUUUGCGAUUCUUUCAGGCAUUUUUGCGAUUCCUCUCUGUAGGCUUCUACUUGUUCUCUAAGGGAGUUCUUCACGUCUUUCUUGAAGUCCUCCAGCAUCAUGAUCAAAAAUGAUUUUGAAACUAGAUCUUGCUUUUCUGCUGUGUUUGGAUAUUCCAUGUUUGUUUUGAUGGGAGAAUUGGGCUCCGAUGGUGCCAUGGUGUCUUGGUUUCUGUUGCUUGGGUUCCUGCGCUUGCCUCUCGCCAUCAGAUUAUCUCUAGUGUUACUUUGUUCUGCUAUUUCUGACAGUGGCUAGACUGUCCUAUAAGCCUGUGUGUCAGGAGUGCUGUAGACCUGUUUUCCUCUCUUUCAGUCAGUUAUGGGGACAGAGUGUUCUGCUUUCGGGCGUGUAGUUUUUCCUCUCUACAGGUCUUCAGCUGUUCCUGUGGGCCUGUGUCUUGAGUUCACCAGGCAGCUUUCUUGCAGCAGAAAAUUUGAUCUUACCUGUGGUCCCGAGGCUCAAGUUUGCUCGUGGGGUGCUGCCCACGGGCUCUCUGCAGCGGCAGCAACCAGGAAGAAUUGUGCUGCCGUUUCCGGGAGCUUCAGUGCACCAGGGUUCCACAUGGUCUUUGGCUUUUUCCUCUGGCGUCUGAGAUGUGUGUGCAGAGAGCAGUCUCUUCUGGUUUCCCAGGCUUGUCUGACUCUCUGAAGGUUCAGCUCUCCCUCCCACGGGAUUUGGGUGCAGAGAACUGUUUAUCCGGUCUGUUUCCUUCAGGUUCUGGUGGUGUCUCAGGCACAUGGGUCCUGCCGCUCCUGGGCCCUCCCCCACGGGAGCCCAGAGGCCUUAUACAGUUUCCUCUUGGGCCAGGGAUGUGGGCAGGGGUGAGCAGUGUUGGUGGUCUCUUCUGCUCUGCAGCCUCAGGAGUGCCCACCUGACCAGGCGGUUGGGUGUCUCUCUCACAGGGUCUGGGGGCAGAGAGCUGCUGCCAAGGAUAGCAUUUUCAACAAAUGAUGCUUGUUCAACUGGAGGUCAGCACGUUGAAGAAUGUAAAUCAAUUCAUUUUUAUUGCACUGUACAAAGCUUAAGUCCAAGUGGAUCAAGGACCGCCACAUAAAACCAGAUACACUCAAAAUAAUAGAAGAAAAAGUGGGGAAGAGUCUUGAUCCCAUGGGCACUGGGAAAAAUUUCCUGAACAAAACACCAAUGACUUAUUCUCUAAGAUCAAGAAUCGACAAAUGGGACCUCAUAAAACUGCAAAGCUUCUGUAAGGUAAAGGACACCCCCCCCCCACACACACACCAUUCAGAGUGGCUAAGAGCAAAAGCUCAGGUAACAGCAGAUGCUUGUGAGGAUGUGGAGAAAGAGGAACACCCCUCCAUUGUUGGUGGGAUUGCAAACUGGUAUAACCCCUCUAGAAAUCAGUCUGGAUGUUCCUCAGAAACUUGUACAUAGUACUAUUUGUGGACCCAGCUAUACCACUCCUGGGCAUAUACCUAAAAGAUGCUCCAACAUAUAACAAGGACAAAUGCUCCACUAUGUUCAUAGCAUCUUUAUUUAUAAUAGCCAGAAGCCGGAAAGAACCCAGAUGCCCUUCAAUGGAGGAAUGGAUAUGGAAAGUGUGGUACAUCUACACAGUGGAAUAUUACUCAGCUAUCAAAAACAAUGACCUCAUGAAAUUCAUAGGCAAAUGGAUGGAACUAGAAAAUAUCAUCCUGAGUAAGGUGACUGAAUCGCAAAAGAAGACACGUGGUAUGUACUCACUGAUAAGUAGAUAUUAGCCCAAAACCUCGAAUUACCCAAGAUACUAUCCACUGACUUCACAAAGCUCAAGAACAAGGAUGACCAAAGUGCAGAUGCUUCAGUCCUUAAAAGGGGGAACAAAAAUAUUCAUAGGAGAAGAUAUGGAGAUAAAGUUUGGAGCAGAGACUGAAGGAGUGACUAUUCAGAGCCUGCCCCACCUAGGGAUCCAGCCCAUUUAUAUGCAGUCACCAAACCUGACAAUAUUGAUGAAGCCAAGAAGUUAAUGCUGACAGGAGCCUGAUAUAGCUGUCUCCUGAGAGGCUCAGCCAGAGCGUGACAAAUACAUAGGUUGGUUGCUAGCAGUCAACCAUUGAACUGAGAACUGGGUCCCCAUUGGAGGAGUUAGAGAAAGGAUUGAAGGAGCUGAAGGGGCUUGCAACCCCAGAUGAACAACAAUACCAACCAACCAGAGCUUCCAGGGACUAAACCACAACCCAAAGACUACACAUGGACAGACUCAUGGCUCCAGCUGCACAUGUAGUUAAGGAUAGUUGUGUUGGGCUCCAAUGGGAGGAGCAGCCCUGGGACCUGCUAAGACUGGACCCCCAGUAUAGGAGAAUGUCAGGGUGUGGAGGUGGGAAGUGGUGGGUGGUUGGGUGGGGGAAAGGGGAUAUCUUUUGAAAUGUAAGUCAAAAAAUAUCCAAUAAAAAAGUAUGCAUGACACUAACAAAUUAUCACAUUAAAAAACAAAAGAAAAACAUCUUUGUUUUCUAUUGAAAGGCAGAAAAGGAAGGGAUAUAGAUGGGAAGGGAGGUGGAAAGAAAGUGGGAUGAGUAAAGGAAGGGGAAGCUGUAAUCAGGAUAUAUUAUAUGAGAAAAUAAAUGUAUAACAAAGAGUUAGGCAAUAUUCCUUCUGCUUUUCUGUUUGUCAAACAAUUUGAAAAAUAUUUGUGGUAAGUUUUUGAAAGUCUGGUAAAAUCCAUCUGGUCCUAGAUUUUUGUUGUAGUUGUUGGAAGACGUUUAAUGACUGCUUCUUUUUUUACUAGGAGUUAAUAGUUCUGUUCAAAUUGCUUACAUGAUCUUGAUUUAACUUUGGGAGGUGGUGUAUAUCGAGAAGGUUAUCCAUUUCUUCUGUUUUCUGAUUUGGACUGGCCUCCUUCAUGUGCACUAGCAGCUCGUAGAUGGGGUGGAUGUUUGCGUGAGCCAACACAAAGCCCUGGAUCUGGGCCUGAAUGGAAGCUGAACUGGUUAGACCACCAGUUCUCCUAUGUCCACAUCACCAAAACCAGCUCUCCUACUGUGCCAGCCCUUGGUAUACUGCGCGCCUGGCUUCUCAAUGACUGGAAGGGCCUUUUCUACCCUGUGCUGCAAAUGCAUAGAAGUCGGUGCUUGCAUUUCCCUCCUUUCAUGACGAUGUGAGUCUACACUGAGUAACUCCCCAUUCUUCCCGUGUGAAAGAGGCAGAUAAAGUGUCUGGUAGAAAACGAAGCAUCCUUUAUGUGAAGCUCAUGCUUCUAAUUUCAUACUGUGCUGGGAAAUAACCAUUAGGCUUCAACCAUAGAGAUUAUGACUUAAAUGCUUGGAAUAUUUAUUCCUAUUUGUCAUAGUGAUGAGGCAAAUCAACAUGAAAUGUAUUGUAUCAGAUUUAACCUUUGCAGAAAAUGUACUUUUCUCUCAGCUUUCAAAGAGGAGGACGUAAUAAAUAGUUGCAUGUGAGGCGUCUUUAUACUCUAUCACAUUUAAAAUGUUGUCAAAGAUUUACUAGGUGGCUCAGUCUUUUUAUUGUAAAACAUGUUUUUAUCACACAGAUCCACCUAAAUAUAUCUGAAUUAUUCUUUUAAUAUUCAUUUUAUUUUGGAUUGAUUGUUUCUUUGAGACAGAGUCUCAUAUUGUAGCAUGGGCUGGCCGUGAACUCACAGCAUCCCAAGUGAAAGCAUCCCACUAUAUCCAAUUUCUUUUUGGCUUACCAAACCAUUGUACUAAAGCCAUUUAAUGAGUCAAUGAGUUUUUCCUCUUCAUUUUAGGAGAUAAAGGGAGGAGGAUCGAAUCUCACUUAGAAGAGGGAAACAAAAUCAUCAUAGGAGGAAAAUGGAGGGAAGGAACUGGGUGGGAGAGGGGAUAGGGAGGGGAAUGGGGCGGUUUGGGAUCAGGUGUGGGAGAGAAAAGAGAGGAGCUAGAGGGCCAGACGGCCAGGAGAGUGAAUGGAGAUCUGCAGCUGCCUGGGAUAGGAAGACGGAGGGUCAUCUCUAGGACAUGCCAAAGACCCAGGGUGGGGGAGGCUCCCAGGAGUCUAAGGGGGUGACUUUAGCUGAGCCUCUUAGCAGGAGAGAUACAGAAUUUGGAGAGCACAUCUCCUGUAGCCAGGCAGGAUUCCCAAUGUAGGAAUAAGGACACCAACUCACCCGCAAAACUUUCAACCCCAAAUUUGUCCUGUCUAUAAGAAACUCAGGGACAAAAAUGGAGCAGAGACUGAGAGAAAGACCAACACAUAACUAGACCAACUUGAGACCUAUCCCAAAGGGAAGCACCAAUCCCUGACACUAUUAAUGGUACUCUGUUAUGUUUGCAGAGAGAAGCCUAUCAUGACUGUCCUUUGAGACGCUCCACCCAGGAGUUUAUUGAAACAGAUGCAGAGACCCACAGUCAAACAUUGGACAGAGCUCUGAGACACUUAUGGAAGAGUUAGGGGGAAGAAUUGAGGGCCCCAAAGGGGAUAAGAACUCCACAGGAAGACCAAAAGAGUCAAUUACCUGGACCCUUGGGAACUCUCAGAGACAGAACCACCAACCAAAGAGCAUACAUGAGCUGUACCUAAUGUGUAGUGAAUGUGCCGUACCCCAGCAACUGGAAUAGGGGCUGUCCCGAAAGCUAUUGCCUGCCUGUGGAAUUCUUUCCCCUAACUGGGUUGCCUUGUUUGGCCUCAGUGAGAGGAUAGACCUGUUCCUGCAUAGACUUGAUGGUGGCAGGAUAUCCAGGGCCUCCUCCCUCUCAGAGGAGAAGGGAAUAGGAAUUAGGUGAUGGACUGUGUGAAUGGGGAAUGAAGGGGCAGCUAUGAGGAUAUAAAGUGAAUAAAUAAAUUAAUUAAUUAAAAAGGAAGAAAGUGAGUAAGGAGCUAUAUCCAUGGUCAGUACUAUAGCUUCUUCUCUUUUCCGUUCCUCUUAAAUAUGCCCGAACUUCCUGGACUAUUUUAUCUUUCCAUUUUGGUUCAUCUUUUAUAGGUUUUCAAAUACCACCAUGUCCAAAGUGAUAAUAACUUUCAAUUUUUAAUUUAUGAUUUGUAAGAACUAUGUAAAAAACUUUAUUUUAUUUUAAUAAUACUUUAAUCAAUUGUUUGAUAAUUCCAUAUAAUAUAUUUUGAUCAUAUUUGUAUAUCUCCCCAAACUUUUUCCAUAUCUGCCUUCAUCUUCCUACCUACCCAACUAUCUGUUCUAUUUUUAAAAAUGAAUUGGUCUGUGCCCAGAUGCCAAUGGGAGAAAACUGUUCUCCCAGAAGUGCUGACAAACCUGAGAAUGCUGUAGGUCUAUCAUUCCUGCUCUGAGAGACCUGCCUGGAGUCCUUGGGAUGCAGGAGCCGAGGAGCAGACUGGGACAGAAUUCUUUCAGUUUCUGUCUGGGACUAGAACUGACCCUGUGCCACACCCCUCUGUGCCCAGAUCCCGCUGGGAGAGAGCUGGCCUCCCAGGAAUGCUGACACACCUGAGAGUGAAAGGAGGGUCAAGCCACUGACAAAAACAGCAAGACCAGCUAACACCAAAGAUAACCAGAUGGUGAGAGGCGAGUGGCUGGAUAUAAAAUUAACUCAAAUAAAUCAAGAGCCUUCCUCUACUCAAAGAAUAAGCAGUCAGAGAAAGAAAUUAGGGAAAUGAUACUCUUCACAAUAGCCACAAAUCAUAUGAAAUACCUUGGGGUGACUCUAAUCAAGAAGUGAAAGAUCUGCGUGACAAGAACUUCAAGUCUCUGAUGAAAGAAAUUGAAGAUGAUCUCAGAAGAUGGAAAGAUCUCCCAUGCUCAUGGAUUGGUAGAAUUAAUAUAGUAAAAGUGGCCAUCUUCCUGAAAGCAAUCUACAGAUUCCGUGCAAUCCCCAUCAAUAUCCAAAGUCAAUUCUUCACAGUGUUAGAAAGAGCAAUUUAAAAAUUCAUUUGGAAUAACAAAAAACCCAGGAUAGCAAAAACUAUUCUCAACAAUAAAAGAACUUCUGGAGGAAUCAUCAUCCCUGACAUCAAGCUGUAUUACAGAGCAUUAGUGAUUUAAAAAAAACCUGCAUGAUAUUGGAACAGAAAGAGACAUGUUGAUCAAUGGAAUAGAACUGAAGACUCAGAAAUAAACCCACACACCUAAGGAUACUUGAUUUUUGACAGAGAAGCUGAAACCAUACAAUAGAGAAAAGAAAGCAUCUUCAACAAAUGGUGCUGGUCUAACUCGAUGUCUGUGUGUAGAAGACGGUAAACAGAUCCAUACUUAUCAUCCUGCACAAAACUUAAGUCCAAGUGAAUCAAUGACCUCAACAUAAAACCAAAUACAUUAAAUCUCGUAGAAGAGAGAGAGGGAAAUAGCCUUGAACACAUUGGUACAGGAAACAGCUUCCUGCAGAGAACACCAGUGGCUCAGGCUCUAAGAUCAACAAUUGAUAAAUGGGACCUCACGAAACUGAACAGCCUCUGUAAGGCCUACAGACUGGGGAAAGAUACUUAUUAACACUACAUCAGACACAGGGCUAAUAUCCAAAAUAUAUAAAGAACUCAAAAAGUUAGACUCUAAUAAACCAAAUAACCCAGUUAAAAAAUGGUUUUGGCGCUAAACACAGAGCUCUCAAUGAAGGAAUCGCAAAUGGCUGAGAAGCACUUAAAGAAAUGCUCAAUGUCCUUAGUCAUCAGGGAAAUGUAAAUCAGAAUGACCUGGGAUUCCAGGAGUCCUUAUUGUAGUUCGCAUGUGAAUUAUCUUUCUCCUUUGGCGUCAUGCACAGCGCCUUCCAGUAGCAAUGAGCCUUUCACGUCAGUACUAGGAUUAAUUAUCAUGCUCUUUGCUCUUUUGAACAAUUUUGUUCAAUUCAGUUUGUUAAUAUUGUUUUGAGGGAGUUUUUUUUUUUUUGCAUUUAUAUUCAUACGGAGUGGUAAGUAGGAAUUAAUGAUUUUGUUGUCCUUAUCUAAUUUUGGUACAAAGGUAAUGCUGUCUUUGUAAAGUGAGCUUGAAAUGGCUCUGUUUCUUUGCAUUUUAAGCAAUAGUUUGGGGAGCAUUUACGUUUUCGCCUCUGUAAAGCCUUAGUAGAGUCCGACAAUGAAUAUCUUGCUUUCUGGGCUUUUCUUUUUUGGAACGCACUUUAAUACUGCUUUAAUCUCAUGGCUUGCCAUUGAUAUGUAUAAGUUAGUUGCAUCUUCUUUUAUAGUUUGAUAUUUUUAAGGUCAUAUGCGUAUGUAUAAUUUUAUGCAUUUCUUCUAGAGGUUUUGGUCUAUUGAAAUAUAAGCUUUCAAAAUAUGCUCUGUCAAUACCAGAGACAUUUUCUGUAAUAUCCCCCUUUUAUCUAGAAUUUUAUUAUUUUGGGGGGCUUCUUUUUAUUUUCUUUAUUUUGGAUGAGAAUUUAUCAUUUUAAAAAAUCUCUUCAGAGAGCUAAUUCUUGGUCUCCUUGUCAUUUGUAUUGUUCUUGUUUAGCCUUCAUUUAAUCAAUUUCUACCCCCAUGUUUAUUUGUUUGUUUGUUACUUUUUUAUUUAUUUGCUUUUGUCUACUGUUUUUGUAUUUGGCUAGUUCUUUUCUCUCUAAGAUUUGGAAGUGCAUCACUUGGUUAUCUGCAUGAGCAUUCUUUUCCGUUUAACUUCUGGCACUCAUAGCAAGAAGCUUUGGCUUUUAGAAUUGUCUUCCCAACGCUCCCAAAGAUCGUAGAAUAUAUCAACCAGUUGUUCUUCUUAUUAUAUAGCAUGAACAAAUACAAAAUCACGACCAGCAUUUUUCAGAUCUUGCUGACAAGCCUAGAGAGCCAAAACUUGGGAAGCAGAAUGUUGUGGUUUGCCCUGGAGUUAUCUGUAUCUUGAUGCUAAUCCCACUGCCCCAAGGACAGCUGCCUAGUCAGUACUCAGGACUCAGAAAGAAUACAAGAGUACAAGAGCACGCUUGCUUCAUGAUGGAAAUGAUAUGUGGGAGAGAAGCGAGCAAUCAUGCAGGAAGGAGUUGCGGAAGCGGCGUUGGAAAAGCUUUCAAAAAAGUAAGAGGGAAUUCAGUUCAGAGAAAUAGAGAGACUGACCCUGUGGCAGAACUAUGGGUGUUUACUGGGAAAUUUAAAAGUUUGUGGCAGGAAGAUUAUGAGAAUUCUAUUUUCUAUAUGAAGCCUGAGGCAGGUAGAAACUAUGUAAGUAGCGUAACACAAUAAUGCUGCUAGACCAAUUUGCCCCUUGUUUUUCUUGAUAUCCUCAGAUCAUUCUCUUAUAUUGUGGGAUUCUUCUUCCAGUAGUUAGUUAGCACAAGUACAAGUCAAAGUCAAAUGCUCACUGACACAUUACUUUCCCAUUAAUGCCUCUUAGUGAAUCCAUUUUACAGAUUUAAAGCACUGAGCAUUACACAUGUUUAAUAAUUUGCUCAAUGAGAUGGGUGAAGGAAUUUGACUUCAUCACACCUGUCCAAUCUCAGAGCCUGCCCUUUGUUAGACUGUAUUGCCUCUACUUACCACAGUGUUUGAAUUACACAGGCAAAUGCUGUACUGUAAACAACAGGGUGUGCUGGUUUCCUGAUAACCAUCCUUAUCUGUCUUAAUAAUUAGCAUUACUUCUUCACCAAUUUACCUACUUAACUGUUUUUAUAUUCUGGAGAAAGGGGUACCUCAUUUCAAAUUUACCGUGGUUAGGUGGAACAACAUGAAGUUAUAUAUUCUCAGCUUAAUGUUUCCCAUACAUGAAAGGAGUUUUAUCACUUAAAAAGUCAAAUAGUGAUAAAGAAACUAGAAAUCCCAACUGUGAGUGUACAUCUUCAAGAAUAAUCCCCUCUCUUUCUUCUUUGUCUGAAUGUAACAUUUGCUUUUGUGAACAUGUUAAUUUUUCCACAGGAUGAUUUCUUUAAUUUUUUUUUCUUUUUCAAUAAGACAAAAACAAGAAUUCUGAGAUUUGAAAGAGUAUCUAUAAAAAGCAGAAAAGAACAAAAAGAUGCUGUCUUGGCACUGAGCUAAUGAAGAACUCUAUUGAAAAGAGCAGCAAGAGACAGAAUGAUGUAGGCGUGUUCUUCCUGAGACCUGUUGGUUCCUUUUAGCUUUCUAUGUGCAAUGGUGCUGUUUGAAACUUGGACACAAACUUGAUUUGACAUUCUCGUUAUCAGGCACAGUGACUGGAGCGCACAGGAGAAAUGCAAGGAAAGAAACAGGUGACGUGGGAAGGAGGAAGGCACGUCCUGAAUUUUCUAACAUAUUUUCAUUUUUAUAAAAUUUUGUGAAAGGGUCUGACUUAUUCCAUUUUAUGAACAGGAAAGUGAUUUGUUUGGGGAUAAAGAUUAUAUUAUGAACAUACAGCAUCUAGAUUUAUGUCAUUUAUUCUAUUAUUCUUGUUCAUCUUGACUCAGGGAACGUUGGAUGGAAAAGACUACUGAAGAACGGGGCCAAUUUAUUGAAGUUCUAAUUUAUAGAAAUUCAAUUUAUAGAAAUUUUAAUCUAUCCUAGGAAAACAAAAGAUAAAAGUUAAGAUGAAAAUUCAGUCAGAAGAAGUUGGGAGUAAUACUAUCAUAGGCAAUUAAUCUGAUAACAAAUGCUGGAGAGAACAUGGAGAGAAAGAAGCAUCCAUUCACUGUUGUUGAGGGUGCAAAUAAAUGAAGGCGUUAUGGAAAUCAGAUUGGGGAUUUCUCAAAACAAUUAAAAAUAAAACUAUCAUGAACUCUAGCUAUCUCACUUCUAGGCAAGAAAACUUCAUAAAGAUAUUUGUACUCCUGGGUUUAUUGCCACUUCAUUCAAUUAAAAUGAAGAAUUGAAAUUAACCUAGUUGUACACAAACAGAUGAAUGGAUAAUAAAAAUUUGCUAUAUUUAUGAAUACUACUCAGUUCUAAAAAAUAAAUUAAAAACUUGCAGGAAAGUGGAUGGACUUAGAAUGUUUAAUAUGAAGCGAGAUCGCAUACAGUUCCAAACAGAAAUAAACUGCAUGUUCUCUCCUGUAUGUGGAAUUUAGCCAAUAAUAUGUGUAUAUACAUGACAGUGUACUUGUGGUCCAGUACAACAUGAGGAAAAGAAUGACUGAAUAAAGGGGAUGGGGAAACACUGAAUGCAGGAUAUGGACGUGAGAUUUGAAAGAUAAUAUCAAGGUAAUUGUUUUUCUUGUUCUAAUUCUGUCAGUUUUUUGAGGGGUUGGUGGUUGACAAGAGCAUAAAAUAAACCCAAUACUGAAAUUGAAAAAAUUUAAUGUUGAAGUCUCUCACUUCUGUAUCGAAUGUCAGUUUUAACUGUGUAUAAAUGUAUAUUCAUUAAAUUGUGUAGACCGGGUCUGUUUAAAUUUGCUGUGUAUGUUUUUAUUUAUUUGUAAGAUUUUCAAUAAUAAAGUUUACAAAAUUAAAAGAGAAAUCUAAAAAAGAAGUGGUUUGUGGAAUUAAAUCCCUCCAGAGAGCUCAGAAAUGCCUUGAUGAAUAGUCUGAUUUAAGGAUAGUUUUUGUUGAGAGAAGAGAAUCAACACUGAACCACACAAGUGCAUGAAAACUUCCAAGGUGCAGUGGUUGGCUGGAGACCAAGUGACAACCUGCCUUAAUUAAUUUUUUCUUCUUGGUAGAAUGGCCCUUCCAGAGAGUGAUGCUAUCCAUAUGUAUUAAGAGAGUUUAAGUCAAGACUUAUGCCUUCAAAAAAGAGUAUUUCCUGUCUGAAAUUAAAAUUACUCAUCCUGCAACAUGAUAUUUUCUUUUUUUCUUUUUAUUGGAUAUUUCAUUUACAUUUCAAAUAUUAUUCCUUUUCCUGGUUUCCUGUCCAUAAGCCCCCUAUCCCCUUCCCCUCCCCUUCUUCUAUAAGGAUGUCCCCGUCCCUAUCCACUUCCCUUUACCGCCCCCUCCCUACAUUCCAUUGAACUGGGGGUCCAACCUUGGCAGGACCAAGGCUUCUCCUCCCAUUGGUAUCCAACAAGGCCAUCCUCUGCUACCUAUGCAGUUGGAGCCAUGGGUCAGUCCAUGUAUAGUCAUGUAGUGGUUUAGACCCUGGAAGCUCUGGUUGGUUGGCAUUGUUGUUCUUAUGGGGUUGCAAGCCCCUUCAGCUCUUUCAGUCCUUUCUCUAAUUCCUCCAAGGGGCAUCCUGUUCUCAGUUCAGUGGUUUGCUGCUAGUAUUCACCUCUGUAUUGGACAUGCUCUGGCUAUGUCUCUCAGGAGAGAUCUAUAUCCGGUGCCUUUCAGCUUGCACUUCUUAGCUUCAUCAAUCUUAUCAAGUUUUGGUGGCUGUAUAUAUAUGGGCCACAUGUGUGGCUGGGACAUUUUUCUUUAAUAUAGAGUUUCUUGUUUACAUGAUUUCUCUACACAAAUAGAGACAGUUUUUAAAGAGAAACUUUAAAAGUUUAUUCUUUACAUUUUCAGAAAUUUCUAAAAUGUGCUACAUAUCAAAGGUAGAAAAUUAGCUCUUAAAACUGUAAAAUGAGAGUUGUAAUUGUUUUCAAAUCAGAACUUCAUCAAGAUAGGAAUGUAUGUAUAUGCAGAACAAUAUACCACUCUUUCUUGGCUUCAUUGAAGUGAAGACAUAUGCCAACCUUCUUUUGUCUGAUAGUCAUAAAAAAUUCUUGUUUAAAAAAAUAUCAGGAGAGACACCGCCGGACCCUGAAGGAAACAGACCGGAUAAACAGUUCUCUGCACCCAAAUCCCGUGGGAGGGAGAGCUAAACCUUCAGAGAGGCAGACAGGCCUGGGAAACCAGAAGAGACUGCUCCCUGCACACACAUC